rnacentral:rRNA from 1 species
GACAGAGGUGCCAAGCGUUAGGCGGAAUCACUGGGCUUAAAGCGUGUGUAGGCGGGUGGCUAAGGACCUUGUGAAAUCCCACGGCUCAACCGUGGAACUGCUGGGUAUACUGGGUGCCUUGGGUCAUCUAGGGGCUGCCGGAACAAAUGGUGGAGCGGUGAAAUGCUUAGAUAUGACAUAGAACACCAAUUGCGAAGGCAGCUUACUACAGGGAUAUUGACACUGAGGCACGAAAGCGUGGGGAUCAAACAGG